UACGAAGGGGGGCUAGCGUUGCUCGGAAUCACUGGGCGUAAAGCGCACGUAGGCGGAUUGUUAAGUCAGGGGUGAAAUCCUGGAGCUCAACUCCAGAACUGCCUUUGAUACUGGCGAUCUUGAGUCCGGGAGAGGUGAGUGGAACUGCGAGUGUAGAGGUGAAAUUCGUAGAUAUUCGCAAGAACACCAGUGGCGAAGGCGGCUCACUGGCCCGGUACUGACGCUGAGGUGCGAAAGCGUGGGGAGCAAACAGGG
rnacentral:rRNA from 1 species